GUGAAUCAUCGAAUUUUUGAACGCAAAUUGCACUCUCUUCGGAGAGUAUGCCUGUUUGAGGGUCAGCCUAAAAAAAAAAUCGACAUAGUUGCUGUUUUCCGGUGUCAUUCGUCGGAAAUUUGGUCAUCUUUAACCUUUUGGUUUUAAGCUGUUUAAAAUUUUUUUUCUGCUUCUACGGAAAUUUCUAAACUUUUA
rnacentral:misc_RNA from 1 species